GAUGAAGAACGUAGCGAAAUGCGAUAAGUAAUGUGAAUUGCAGAAUUCAGUGAAUCAUCGAACCUUUGAACGCACAUUGCGCCCGCCAGUAUUCUGGCGGGCAUGCCUGUUCGAGCGUCAUUUCAACCAUCAAGCCCCCGGCUUGUGUUGGGGACCUGCGGCUGCCGCAGGCCCUGAAAAGCAGUGGCGGGCUCGCUGUCACACCGAGCGUAGUAGCAUACAUCUCGCUCUGGGCGUGCUGCGGGUUCCGGCCGUUAAACCACCUUCAUAACCCAAGGUUGACCUCGGAUCAGGUAGGAAGACCCGCUGAACUUAAGCAUAUCAAUAAGCGGAGGA
rnacentral:misc_RNA from 1 species